rnacentral:rRNA from 1 species
AUGGGUAUUGUACCUUUUCAUGACCAUGUACUGUGCAAACCAAGGAUAAUAUUGUUCCUGAAGCACUUCAUUAAAUUCUUUCGCCUUGGCUUCCAUAUUAGAGGUGGAUAUAUUGUUAAUCAUAAACAAGAUCUUGUCCUGAACUUCAGACGGGGGAGUCUAGAUGGAGAGGAAAAUCAAUUAGCCCAACCACAUUGUGUAUUCUCCCACGAGAGCACACCAUGGAAAACAAUAGCAAUACGCCAAUACCAACCUCAAUUGUAUUAUCUCUUUGCUCCGCUGCUGCUACAAGUGUCUCAAUAUUUAAAGCAUUUCCAAAUCCCGUAG